rnacentral:lncRNA from 1 species
UUUUUUUAAUAUUUAUUUAUUUUAGUUUUCGGCGGACACAACAUCUUUGUUUGUAUGUGGUGCUGAGGAUCGAACCCGGGCCGCACGCAUGCCAGGCGAGCACGCUACCGCUUGAGCCACAUCCCCAGCCCGCCAGAAUGAUCUUGUCAAAUAAAAAACAGAUGAUUAUUCUCUUCCUUAAAACCUUUCAGCAACUUCCUUUUUAAAGUAAAAGGUUUUCCUUGGGCAUUAUAGGCUUGGCCUCUACCCCACAUACCAUUGUCUUGAGACAAAAUAACCCCUUUUACCCACCUUAGUUUCUAAGUCACACUGGCCCACCUUUCAAAGCCUUGUUACCAAACUUUUUCCUGUCUCAAGGUCUCCUUUCUACCUGGAAGGACCUACCUUUUCACCAUUUUAGGGUUUACUUACCCCCACCCCCACUAAUAGAGAUCAAACCCAGAGCCUGGUGCCUGCAAAGUAAGUGCUCUACCACUGAGCUACAUCUUCAGCUCAGUGGCCCACUUGUCCUUUAGGUCUUACUUUUAGGACCAAGCAUCAGAGUGCCUUCCCAGACCACCUGUUGCAAAUUUGAAGCCCCCCGCCCCGCCAUCUUUCUAGUUUGUAUAUAUUGUGGUAUUUAUCCUGAUUUCUUUACUCAUUUAUUGAAUAUUCUUGAAAUUGUAGAGGUGGGUGAGGAAAUUAUCUACCUUACUAAUACAUAGCCCAGUGCCUAGAAACAACAUGAGACCUGUAAUGGUAUUUAAGAACAUAUGUAAGCUAUUAUUUGAAAUGAUGUGCUUUUGUUGAGAAUAUACUGCUCCAUUCACAGCUUCAGUAGCCAUGAGUCAUGUGAGAAACUGGGUGCCAGCUCAGGGCUAGGCUAGCAUAGAACCUGAGUUCAUGGGCUGGAAUCCUGCAGUUCAGCCACCUAGCUGUCAUGGUAGAGCAGGCCUAUAAUCCCAGCGACUUGUGAGGCUGAGAGGAGGACUGAAAGUUCAAAGCCAGCCUCAACAACAGACCUUAUUUCAAAAUUUAUAAGGACUGGGGAUGUAGCUCAGUGGUAGAGGUCCCCUAGGUUCAAAAAGUUGAGCAAUCAAG